UACGUAGGGUGCGAGCGUUGUCCGGAAUUAUUGGGCGUAAAGAGCUCGUAGGCGGCUUGUCGCGUCGGAUGUGAAAGCCCGGGGCUUAACCUCGGGUCUGCAGUCGAUACGGGCAAACUAGAGUGUUGCAGGGGAGACUGGAAUUCCUGGUGUAGCGGUGAAAUGCGCAGAUAUCAGGAGGAACACCGGUGGCGAAGGCGGUUCUCUGGGCCUGUACUGACGCUGAGGAGCGAAAGCGUGGGGAGCGAACAGG
rnacentral:rRNA from 1 species